CUUUCUACACUGAAUGGCAGUGGAACUCUGAGAUUCAGUGGAACCUGGAAGUUUGUUCCCACUGGGUGGCCAAUGCUACAUCAAACUGGACUUCAUUCUUGUCAAAAUGUGAGAUGGAGUCUCCCUGUGUUGCCCAGUCUGGUCUUGAGAGCUUCAGUUUUAAAUAAUAAAUUGUUCUCGUCUUUCUAAAUUUCAAUCAAAACACAGGAUGUAUUUUAAAAGGGAAAAACUGUGAGGUAAAAGAAUAGGGUGAGGGGAGGAAAGAAAUAACUUCAUAGAGAAAAAUUCAAUGAACCCUUGGAAGAAAAUAUAUGGAAGUAUGGUUACUGACUUGGGAAAGAAGAGAAAGGUACAAUGUAACUGCACAUAGAAGCCAGUCCUGAAAAGAAGCAAGCCGGCUGAAGUUAUCUGCAACUCAGAAGCACUUGGUACCACCCAAGGGGAGAUAAGAGGAGAUCUCAUCAGAGGUGCCUGAAAAGCACCUCAGCCGAAGGCCUCACAUAGAGAGACCUAAGAAUGAAGGCACCUGGACUAGGAAUGUGAAUAUGUGAAAGAACAUGACCGGCCAGGGGCCCUGAGUUAUUGAAUGCAACCCCCUUCAGACACUGCAACACACAGGCUGUGCACCAAGCCUAGUAUGGGAAGGACAGCUUUUCUUCAUGAGGCCUGCCAGGUAAAGCCAGCUAUGAAACAGGAAGUUGACCUUCACCAGACACUGAACCUACUGGCACCUUGAUCUUGGACUUCCCAGCCUUACAAACUGUAAGAAAUAAAUGUCUGUUGUUCAUAA
ensembl:lncRNA LINC02345 long intergenic non-protein coding RNA 2345